GUGGAUUAGUGGCGAACGGGUGAGUAACACGUGGGCAAUCUGCCCUUCACUCUGGGACAAGCCCUGGAAACGGGGUCUAAUACCGGAUAACACUCUGUCCCGCAUGGGACGGGGUUGAAAGCUCCGGCGGUGAAGGAUGAGCCCGCGGCCUAUCAGCUUGUUGGUGGGGUGAUGGCCUACCAAGGCGACGACGGGUAGCCGGCCUGAGAGGGCGACCGGCCACACUGGGACUGAGACACGGCCCAGACUCCUACGGGAGGCAGCAGUGGGGAAUAUUGCACAAUGGGCGAAAGCCUGAUGCAGCGACGCCGCGUGAGGGAUGACGGCCUUCGGGUUGUAAACCUCUUUCAGCAGGGAAGAAGCGAGAGUGACGGUACCUGCAGAAGAAGCGCCGGCUAACUACGUGCCAGCAGCCGCGGUAAUACGUAGGGCGCAAGCGUUGUCCGGAAUUAUUGGGCGUAAAGAGCUCGUAGGCGGCUUGUCACGUCGGAUGUGAAAGCCCGGGGCUUAACCCCGGGUCUGCAUUCGAUACGGGCAGGCUAGAGUGUGGUAGGGGAGAUCGGAAUUCCUGGUGUAGCGGUGAAAUGCGCAGAUAUCAGGAGGAACACCGGUGGCGAANGCGGAUCUCUGGGCCAUUACUGACGCUNAGGAGCGAAAGCGUGGGGAGCG
rnacentral:rRNA from 2 species